rnacentral:lncRNA from 1 species
AUGGAGUUCUUGCACCUCAGCUUGGUACAGUACCAGCGAGUGCACUGGCCUUUCGAGCGAGUCCCUGUGCGAGGAGCUGGUGCCCAGAGGGGCUGGGUAGUGGCCUGGGUCACCUGCACCGAAGGACAGGUCUCUGACACUGCGUGUGAUGCACCUUGUACCGAUGGCCCGUGCCGUGCUGGUCCUGCUGGAGCUCACCAUGGCGCCCACCUCGCUGCCAGGCCCUCUGGAAGCCCUUGCCCACCCCUGUGCCCACACGGAGGGGUAGGGCUUCCCUGCUGCUCCCUCCCAGGAAAAGCAGACGCUGGAAGCCCAGAGAUGGUGGAAGCUCGGAGAUGCUGGGCUGCAGAGGAUCCUGUUGCCACUUCCUGCUCCCCGACUGCGCUGUCUCCAUUUGGUACAUGUGAGCUGGAGGCCACAGCAUGGCCAGCCAUAACAAGGCAGGUUCCCUGCCACCCGAGUGGCCUUUCUGCACCGCGGCGCGUCAGAGGCACCAGGCAACCCCGCUCUAUAUUUAGGCUGUGGAGAAUUCCCCUGGGCUCUCCCUUCCGAGCUGAAAAGGUCCUGACCCACCAGAGUCACCCUGGACCGUGCACUCAUCUCUUCAGCUUGGGCAUUUCUGCCUGGAGACCCCCACCAAGGUGGAGGGAAGGGCUUGGAGUCACCUCGCUCGUCUGCAGGGACAUCUUGCCAUCAGGACCUAUCCCUGCCGGGGAAAGCAGAGCAGGGGCCACGCUUCCUCCGUGGACCUGGAGCCUGUGA